rnacentral:lncRNA from 1 species
GUAUUUCCAGAUCUCUGGUUAUAGAGCAAUGCAGCUAUCGGCCUACGUAAUACUCCUAGGGGAAGUCAAUAGGCUACACAUUGUGUAGUUUAGGAUGAACAACACCCAAGGUGUAGCCUACAGGUCAAUGAUGUGGGUUGAGACACAUGAGAUCUCAGGUUCAAAUUCUAGCAGAAAUAAAAACACACCAGGUGAUUUCUACUCGUCUGUCCAAGUAUUGGUGGACAGAGCUACCCAGUACUUGUGCUGGUAGGAGGUAGCAGGGACACGCUUAAUUAAUCUAAGUGCACACAAGCUGGCCCGAGUAUCACAAUUAUCAAUUGAAGGGUCAUUUCACCACAUGUUUCUCAGUAUACUCUUUGUCUAAUGUGUCAUUCAGCUACUAAAAUUAUCCUAGUUUGAUCAAGGCUACUAAAAUUUUCCUUAAUUCUCAAAUUCUGC